UACGUAGGGGCCUAGCGUUGUCCGGAAUUAUUGGGCGUAAAGUGUGCGCAGGCGGCAGAGCAAGUCGGGUGUGAAAGCCCCGGGCUUAACUUGGGAAUUGCGCUCGAAACUACUUUGCUGGAGUGUGGCAGAGGAAGGUGGAAUUCCACGUGUAGCGGUGAAAUGCGUAGAGAUGUGGAGGAACACCAAUGGCGAAGGCAGCCUUCUGGGCCAACACUGACGCUCAUGCACGAAAGCGUGGGGAGCAAACAGG
rnacentral:rRNA from 1 species